rnacentral:rRNA from 1 species
GAUGAACGCUGGCGGCGUGCUUAACACAUGCAAGUCGAACGAUGAAGCCCAGCUUGCUGGGUGGAUUAGUGGCGAACGGGUGAGUAACACGUGAGUAACCUGCCCUUGACUCUGGGAUAAGCCUGGGAAACUGGGUCUAAUACUGGAUAUGACUUCUCAUCGCAUGGUGGGGGGUGGAAAGAUUUAUUGGUCUUGGAUGGACUCGCGGCCUAUCAGCUUGUUGGUGAGGUAAUGGCUCACCAAGGCGACGACGGGUAGCCGGCCUGAGAGGGUGACCGUCCACACUGGGACUGAGACACGGCCCAGACUCCUACGGGAGGCAGCAGUGGGGAAUAUUGCACAAUGGGCGCAAGCCUGAUGCAGCGACGCCGCGUGAGGGAUGACGGCCUUCGGGUUGUAAACCUCUUUCAGUAGGGAAGAAGCGAGAGUGACGGUACCUGCAGAAGAAGCGCCGGCUAACUACGUG